UACGAAGGGGGCUAGCGUUGCUCGGAAUCACUGGGCGUAAAGCGCACGUAGGCGGCUUUCUAAGUCAGGGGUGAAAUCCUGGAGCUCAACUCCAGAACUGCCUUUGAUACUGGAGAGCUUGAGUCCGGAAGAGGUGAGUGGAACUCCGAGUGUAGAGGUGAAAUUCGUAGAUAUUCGGAAGAACACCAGUGGCGAAGGCGGCUCACUGGUCCGGUACUGACGCUGAUGCGCGAAAGCGUGGGGAGCAAACAGG
rnacentral:rRNA from 1 species